rnacentral:tRNA from 1 species
CUAUUAAGCGCUGAACUUUUAAUUCAGAAAAGGAAUCCCUCAAAAUC